UCAUGUGAAUAGGCCUUAUAUUCCAUCAUAUACCUAUGUGGGCUUUAACAUUAAAAACAAACAAACAGUUUUACAAUUUCCAGUUAAACUUUCUAAGGUUUGGCCCCAUCCUCUGAGCAAAAUCAACAUACACCCAUCCUGUCCUGGGCUCCCAUCUCCGGCCUUACUGGGUUACACGCAAUCUGGUUUGAGAACCAAGCAUUAAAAGGUACCAAGGAGGGCUCCGUGGUGGUGUCAUUGAGUCCAAAGACUUGGGCACCAAGACAGAAACUGCUCAGGCAUAGAAGAAGGAGAAGAUUUGGCAAAGCAAGUUUGGAGUCAUGCAGGGUUGAUUUGGGAGCUGAGGGAAGGCACCAGAAGGUCUGAGGAAGGGGGUGGCCAAAGUUCUGACUAUAUAAAGGUUGCGUAAUUAUAGGCACCAUGGGGGUACCACCCGCAUCUUGGGUAGCAGCAUCUCAACUUCCACUGUGGCUUUGGCUGCCAGCCAGAGUGGCAGUUUUAUUGACAGGUUAUUGGAGUCCUUCCCCCCAGCAAGCUUUCAUGAUGAGAUUCAUGUGGCAUGGCGCUUGGGUCUCAGAUAAAAGGUCCUUCAUCUACCCCCUCCAAGGUCAUUAUUUCGCCGCUUAUUAUAAUGCUAUUCUGAUGGAAAGUCCCACCACACUACAAAGAAGCCCCGGACUUAUAAUAAAACCAAAAUUUCUUUGUUUUCCUCCAAGGCAAUUAAAGGGGCAGAAAUAGGUGGGUCCUGAGGCAGGCAUUACAGAGACUUUCCAGAGGCAGGACGCAAGUCUAGGUGUAAGGAGCUCCUUUCUCGCUUCGGCUGGGCUUGGGACAGAUGGAAACGCCUAUCAAUCAGACUGAUGAACAUUUACCCAUAGGGCACAGCACAGGCCUCCUGCUUCCUGACUCUUGUCAGCCUGCUCCAGAGGCCUGUCUUUCCAGCCUGAAGCUGUUCCCCAAUCCUGCCUCCCUCCCUAUCCACGGAGACUUGCGCCUGAACACAGACCAAUGGCAGCACCUCUUCAAGCUUUUUGGUCGCAUCCAUUGAUUGACCAGUGCAGCCUCAUGGGGGCUUUGUCCAAGAAGAGGGUUUAGCUUGUAAAUAUGAGAAGAUUCAAGAAUUGGGUCGACAACAACAACAACAACAAAAACACCAAAACUAGAAUUUGCAUAGAGUGCCAAGAGAUCAGAGGAAUGGAAACUGAGAGCACGAUGUUGAAUAAGAGAUAAGAACACACAGAAGAGGCCAGGAGAAAACCAGAAGAAUCCUCAGAACCACACGGGCUCAUGCUGCUCAGACAAAGCUAGCCUACCUUCCAGUGAGUGAUCCCGGAGAGUACAAAGCUGAGAAGUAGCCAAUGCAACCAAAUCUACGGUCAGAAGACUGGCCCACCCUGCCGAGUGUCCUGCAUGAUAUAAAUCGAGAUGAUUCAGGAAAGAUCUACAGACACGGGACCACAGCCUCUGAGGCCUCCAAAAGCAGUGACAUUUUCCAAGGUGCCCAGACCAGAGCAUCACCUCCAUGAUGCAGUCUGAGAUUUGUAUGUGGCUGAGAAAUACGGUGUUGCCUAUACCAGGCAGCAUAAGGUCAAAAGGGGACAACGUUACCUGUUCCUGAAUGAGUACGGAGUGUGGACAGGAGAAAUGGAGAAAGGAGCAGAGGAGAUCAUACCUGUACUGGCUUCGGGUCACAGCCAAUCGGCAGCCACACAGAGACGCAGGAAAGUACAGGUUACAAGCGGAGAUUCCUUUUUUCCCCUGAUGGUUGCCCCACAGGUGAAAUGGCCGGGGCCACAGAUGGAGUGACAGGAACCAGAAGACAGAUGUAGCUCCCCAAGUGCUGCAGAAGGAAAAUGGCCCCGCUAAGAGAACUUGAACGUCAAAACACAGGCGGAAGUCGUGAGAAGCCGCAGAGCCUCAGGGACGCCCCACCCCAGAGAUGAGCCGUCUGUAAGGCGGUCCUGGUGCUGGUGGGCAGAAAUAUUCCCCAGCGUCUACAUCCGUGGCUUCUGCAUCCCUCACAAAGUGGAGAUGGACCAGGAGGGAGGAUAGCUGUCAACCUCUCUAACUUGGAAGCAUCAUCCCAACACAGCGGAUGGCGACCAUCCAUGGCCAGCAGAGGGGGCAGCACUAACUGCGCCUGAGCCUUGGGGCUUGGUAUCCUAUAAAAAGCUUUAAUAGGCAUUUGGGUUGUCAGACAGGUCCUGGCAAGUCAGAUGACACACAAGGUGGAAAGAGGAGCCAGGUUGGAUUGGACAGUAUGCUCUGAGGGAAAAGGAGCCUGCACAAGUCCCCAAAGGGCCCAGGGGACCUGGACUCCUGGCCUACAACCCCUGUGUCAUUGCUCCUGGCCACAGCCUGAGUCUGUCCUCUUAUUGAGCCAAAGGCUCCAAGGAUAAGGAGAUUCUGAAUUUGGUGGUUUCCAGAUAUUUUUUUAAUUGGGAACUACAGUCCUGGGAAGGAGUUUCAGCAUCUCAGAGAAAAUAUCUCUGUUCUUAGGGACAGGAAAGAAGGCAAAAGGAAAAGUAUUUAUUAACCUGAAAUAAUAAUAAACCUUCCUGCUUGGAGAAAACAUCAAGGAGACCCGCUAGGCUUGGCGUGAGACCACUUACUUUGAUUCCCACCUGUUGGUUGGUGAGUGCAUCUUUCCAACUCUCUGGGCCUUAGACUCGCCAUCCAUAAAGGGGAGAGGCUGGGCCACAUCAUCUGGAAGGCUCCUUAUGAUUCUGAUAGCUUAGGAUAGUGUUGUUGAAUAGAACUUUCUGGAAUAACGGAAAUAUUCUAUAUCUGCAAUCUGGUAUGGUACCCCUAGCCACAUGUAGGUACUGAGCACUUGAAAUGUGGCUCGUGUAUUGAGGAACUGAAUUUUUCAAUUUUAUUUCAUUAAAAAUUCAAUAGCCACAUGUAGUCUGUGGCUACCAUAUUGGACAAGACAGAACAGGUCUAGGAUUUUAGAACCAUAGAUCUGGUUCUGUUCAGUCUAUUGUGUUUAUCAAGCUAAGCACAUUCUAGACAAAUUUGCACGGGGACUGAAAUUAAGAGGGAUUGCCAGUUUGUACUCAGUUAUGAGAAUAUCCACAUGGCCAGAAGCUCCUCUCUCUUGGCAUUCCAGAUCACCGAAAUGCUACCCUCACCUCCCCACUCAGGAACCACAGCUGGCUAAGCAGUGUGUUUGUGUCUCCCAUCAGGCUCACAGCCUCGCCUGCCAAGCCUGCAUGCCGGAUCCUGUCCCGAGAGCCCCAGGCAGCUCCAGGAGCCAAUUCACUUCUCAUCAUUUCUUGGCAAGUCCAGAGGGCAGAUCUUUAAUAGAAACAUCACCUCAGCUCAUUAAAGAAGAACAGUGUGUUUAGAAGUUGAGGUUCAGAAAGGUGUACAAGAUUCCUGUUUCUGGCCCUUUCCUCUUAAUCCGCCAUGGCCAGUCUUGCCAAGUCAGGUCCUCUGCUGAGCCUCUCAGAUUGAGCCCUGAUUUUUUCCUUCCCACUGUCACAGCCUGAGCUGAGGCCCCAUUAGCUUCUUCCACAUACUAGUUAUCAGCUCUGUCCCUGCCCCUCAGCCAUCUUUUUUAUACUCCUCGGUGAAACUUUCUAAAAGGCCACUCCGGCCAUGCCAUCCUUGGGCUCAGAACCUACAGCAGCCCUCCCACAGCUUUCUGGAUGGAGUCCAGGCUCCAUCAGAGAUACCUGGGGCCUCCCCGUGGUCUGACACCUUCCUACCACAUGAGAUUUAUUCCCACCAACCUUCCACAGGGACCCGCUGCUCCAGCCAGCAAGGCCACUCAAGGCGUCUGGAGCCAGACCUUGGCUUCCACGCAGGCCCCACGUGCCUCUACCUCUUUUUUGCUCAGUAGACAUUCAGGCCCAUCUCAAAUGCCACCAGCUGCAGGAAGACUUCCCUGCUCUCCCCAGGCCAGUACUUUGUCCCAGCCUUUGUUAGCAUGUGCUCUUUCUAGGUAGCAAUUUGCCAUGUAGUGGAGUGCUUCGAAUAAGCGCUUCAGGGCACACAGCUGGACCUGGGUUCGAAUCUUGGUCCUUGCAUGUAACUUUGGGCAACUGACUAACCCAUUCUGCACCCCUCAGUUUUCCAUUUCUAAAAUGGACAUGAGGCCUCCCCUACACGGUGGUUGUGCAAGCCGCAUAGGCCGGUCUAUACAAUGUGCUCGGCACGGUACCACAUGCACCAUAUGUGCUCAGGAAGCGGUAGUCAUGGUUAUUAUUAUUUAUACUGGCCCCAGCUCGGUCGCCAAUCAUAGGCUUCCGGACAGUGGGGAUCACUUGCAUAUUUUUUUUUUUGGUAGCCCCUCCCUGCACAGAGCUGUAGUUUGCAAAUACGAGGACUCAGAAUACGAAUUGCUUGAUUUAUCCCUGAGGCCUAACAGCCUAUACUGAGUCCUGGGUCCACUACAUACUAGUUGGAUGACCUUUGGGCAAGUUUCUUAACCUCUCUGGCUCUCAGCUUGCUCAUUUACAAAGGGGAGAAAUAAUGGUACCUUUUUUCACAAGUUGUUGCAAUGUUUAAAUGGGGCACUAAGGAAGUAUCUGGGGGAUGACCCUGGGGGUAUCUACAUGUAAGUAGGCCAUUAGUGAAGACUUUUUGAAUGAAUGAAUGAAUGAUCCCAUUGUAACAGCUGUAAUGAGGUGGGGAGGUGGGGUCAUAACAGUAUUCUUCUCAAUUACAGUAGUUUGGCCUAGGUUUCAGGCAUAAUUAUCUCCCUCUUCUCUUUAUUCCUUUAUGACUUGGCUCUGGACAGAUUGCCUGGCUCUAACUGGCUUAUGGCACGCGGGCCUUUCUAGCAAAUGCCUCCCAAGCCUCCGUGGAAACAGACGAGGCCCAAAAAUAAGUAUAGAAUUUGGCCACUUUCCUCUUGAGCCCAACUGAGUAGAACUGGCUGGUGGAUACAGCAGCAAAGGCGACAAAUAGAGAAAGAUGCUUUUGCAGGGCCACUGGAUGAGGCUUUAUUUGCCAGUUUACUAACAGCACGUGCCCUUGAGUCAGCACAGACAACCAGAAACAUCAGCCAAGAGAACAGUCUGGCUGUGGAAGUGAGAGGCAGUUUUCCAAGACGUGGGGGCCCGGGGCGCCCCCUGCAGAUCUGAGCAUGUAGCACACAGCCCACCUCCCAGCUGGAGGGCUUCCUUGCUGACCACUGAAUGGGGGUCAGACUCCGCCUGAGGAGGCUCCAGCCUCCCAGCUCCGGUCUGUCCAGGAUCCACCGACCCUGAGGGACUUUCAGUAGUGGACCUGAGGACAGGGCACACAAGGCACGCAGACGGUGCGGGGCACACAGAUGGUGCGGGGCACGCUGGGGGAAGGUGCACAAGGGGGACAGGAGGGAGUGGAGCACGGGUUACAGGGCAACCUGCGGAAGACAGGCACAGGGGGCAGGAUUAGAGAAAAGCCCAAGGCAGCAACGAGUGCGCGGCUCUGCCCCCAGAUGCCUCGCAAACUCACCCGCUGCUCACCUUCUCCACUCGGCUUCCCUAAUCCCACCUCCGUCAUCUUUGCCUGUGUAACCCUUAACUGGCCUCCCCAGCCCCACCCCGGCCCCUCCUAACCACUGUCAGCUUUGUGGCCAGAGUGAUCUUCCACAGACACAAAUAUAAGUAUGCCACUCCCUGCCUAAAACGUUCGGUGGCUCCCAUUUGGGCCAGGAUGGAGAGCAGCUUCCUUCAACUCAACUGUCACAUCCUCCUUGAAGCCCUCCAUGAUCUCUCUGUGUCAAAUCCCCCAACGGUACCAUGUGCCCCCUCCCAGAGUGAUGUGUGAUUGUCCUGUUACGGUCUGUCUCCCCAUUAAACAGUGAGGUCAGCAGCCGUGUAUGCAUGCACAUCCUGCAUACCUGGCCUGGAGCAGGCACUUAAUAAGAAUGUGUUGGAUAAGGUGAACUCAGUAAUUAAAACAGAAGGAAGACAUGGCAAAAGGAGAAAGGAUGAUCUCAGAGACCGACAGGUGUGGGCUCAAAACCAGAAACCACAGCCUGGACAGUAGAUGGGAACCAAACAGCCCAGAAACUGGACAGGGAGCCCAGGGACCACAUCCAGCCUGAAAUAUGUUUUGUGUGGCCAGCAGCAUAUUCUUUUCUCAUUUGUUGAAAAUGUUUAAAAAUCAGAAGAAUUUAACAUUUAAAAGACAUCUAGAUUCCCAGUUUCUCGUGAGCAAUCAGAAGAUCCAACCAUACUGGAUGUGCCUCUCACACGGUAGAAACGGUCCUCAUCGGGGGUGGCGCCCUCGCCGGAGUAGACAUCGCUCUUUGGUUCCCCAGGGUCCCACCGUGACCCGCGUCACACAUGUGCAUCAGCACCCUGUUCCUUGAAAAGCAUUUGAUUUUGCAACCCUUGCCCCAGAGGGUGAAACUGAAUGACAGACAAGCAAAGCUGAACAUGGACUAAGAGACCGCCUACAGGGAGCGCCUGGGUGGCUCAGUCAGUUGAGCAUCCGACUUCAGCUCAGGUCAUGAUCUCACAGUUCAUGGGUUCAAGCCCCACGUCGGGCUCUGUGCUGACAGGUCAGAGCCUGGAGCCUGUUUCCAAUCCUGUGUCUCCCUCUCUCUCUGCCUCUCCCCUGCUCAUGCUCUGUCUCUCUCGGUUUCUCAAAACAUAAGAUAAAAUGUUUAAACAAAUUUUUUUAAACAAAAAAAAGAAACUGUCUACAACAGUAAUCAGCCCAGCAGGUGUCCACGGGCCCGAGGUAUCCUGUGCCCAGGUGACCGCCAGGCCUUGCUGAGUGCCUGCCCCACCCGGAUUCCGACUCUCCCCACUGCUCACAUGACCAGGACCUCCUGGACAGUUUCCCUGCCUGGACCCUCUUCCCUCUACUUCCUGCAACCACCUGGGCCGUCUUCCUGAAGAACAGCUUUGAGCUUUCACUGACCCACUCAGGAAACAUUUACUAAGCAUCUACUACAUGCCAGGUGCAGGAAAUAAAAAUAGUUUCUACGAUCUCUGAGUUCUAGAUGAUUACCAUCUCACUGGGGAGAUAGGCCGUUAAGCAAACUCUAUCAUUUCCUCCUCAAAACAAAACAAAACAAAACAAAAAUGAGGGCAUCCCACUGCCUAUUAAAUAAGGUCCUCCCUCCCCAGCAUGGCCUUUAUGGUUCCCCAUGAACGGGCCCCACUGACCUCUUGUGUCUUCCUUCCUUCCCGCCAUAGCCCAAUCACGUUAAGCCACCUAUUGGUCCUCUCGAGUGCAGAAAAAUCUUUCCCCCAAGUAUGAUCUCCAGUUGCCCGUCUCCCUAACCAGACGGAAACAACCUGAGAGCAGAUGCCUCGUCAUCAUCUGUCUCCACAUCCCUAAUGGCACCGGGUACAUGGGAAGCCCUUGGAAGGAGUUUGCUGACUUGGGAAGGAGCGCAGUGGCCUCCAGUGGGCCAGGUUUGGGAUGACAGCAUGAACGCCUGCCUGACUUUCUUUGGAUCAUACCAGCUUCCUAACUGCUUCUUAAUCACGACAGGGCUCUAUCUCCUGGGUAAGCCCUUGUAGCCUUCUCCUAUAGCCUCCUAUAGCCUUCUCCAAACCCAUGUUUGCACCCAUGUGUACAGCCUCAGCUGGGCCCACUCACCUGCAGUCCUCGCCCUCCAGCAGGCGGCGGUAGGUGGCGAUCUCCGACUCCAGCCGGGCCUUGACGUCCAGCAGCACCUGGUACUCCUGGUUCUGCCGCUCCAGGUCACAGCGGAUGUCGGCCAACUGGGCCUCCACGUUGCUGAUCAGGCACUGCAUCUGGGCCAGCUGGGCGCUGUAGCGCGCCUCCGUCUCCGUCAGGGUGUUUUCGAGAGAGUCCCUCUACAGCAAAAGGAAAGACACAGUAGCUGAGGAGCAGACCUAUUCUCCUGGUUCAGAAAGAACCAAGAAAAGCCAGGUCUCUCUUUGGGGUUGGGAAUGACCCCCUCCCUACCUAAGUCACUGUGGAAACUGAGGCCCAGGAAGGUUGAAUGACUUGUUCAAGCUUAAGCAGCUGGCAGGUAACAGACUGGGAUGUGAACCCAGGUCCCCGUGACCCUAAACCCCUUAUUCCUUCUUCAGCCUCGGUCUGGCUUCAGACUUUGGAUCUGAGGUUCCCCAGGCUCCUCCCCGACAGCAUCAUCAAGACCUGUGGCCUUCAGCCCUGGCUGUGCUUUGAAGUCACAUGAGCGCCUUUAAAAGGUCCUUGUGCCCGGCCCCCACCUCCAGAGACUCUGAUUUCACUCAUCCAGAGAGGAACUAAGCAUGGGGAGUUUUUAAAACUCCAGUAGGAAGCCUGCGUUUAGAAGGUUCAGACCAAGCAGAGAACACGCCUUCCUAGGGAGUUGUGUUUGACAGUUGUCCACCUAACCCAUGUCAGGGUUGAGACAAGCCCCUUUGAUCUCUGGGAUGGGUCUUGGGAGCAACCUCAGCCUAGGAGAGGUCAGCUGGGCAAACGUCCGUGGUGGCUGAAUCGGGGCCCCCUCCCCCCGCCUGGAUGCCAGCACCUAAGUGCAUUUGCCGCCUGGGAUCCAGAGACCACCCGGCAGCACCCACCAGGCUGUGCUGGGCCUGCAGCUCGAUCUCCAGCGUGUUGACCGUUCGUCUCAGAUCGAUGAUGUCUGACUGGUAGCUCUGAAGCUGCUCGGAGCUCGUGGCCACCUGCUGAUUGAGCUCCUCCAUCUGCAAAGGGGGAGACAGAAGGGCAGGAGAGCCUUCUCAGGGACCCUAGGGAGGCCGGCCCACCUGCGAGAGGCCCACCUGCAUGUUGAACCAUUCCUCCACGUCCCUGAGGUUGGUCUCCACCACAGUCUCAUACUGACACCGCAUCUCCUCCAGCAUCCUGUUCAGGUCCACAGGCGGUGCAGCGUCGACCUCGAUAUUAAGGCGGUCCCCCAGCUGGCACCGGAGGGCACUGACUUCCUGAAAAGGCACGAGUGUGAGGUCACGUGAUCCCACUCACCACCCCAGGGAGACACAAAAUGGUGGGACAACAGAUGCUAGGAUGUCUAUGUUACAGGGGCCCUUUGAGGCUUGCCGUCCACUCUGCGGAAGCUCUGUGGUCUUCCAGACCCGCUCCGACCGGAUGUUCCCAUGGUGGCGGGAGCGCUCCAUCACACUUCCUGUCACUUUGGCAGAAGCCAAGAGCAAUGCCAGGGUUUGUGUGAUCUCCUCGGGCCAGAAUGGGAAACCCAUGCCCCCGUAUUCCCAGCCACCCUCCCAGCCUGUGUUCGUCUGGGAGGGAGGACAGCAGGAGCCUGGCUUCACUUAGUUCAAGGCCUGAGUGAGAGCAGACGCCUCCCCAGGCUUGGCUGCCAAAGAGAGAAAGUUGUCUCAGAGGCUGCCCGAGUGUGCGAUAAUGCCUCAUUAGUGGCCUCUUGGUGCCGUUCCCAGUUCUCUGAUUUAAGUAGGAUGAGUCAGGUACCUUAGGGCACCCAGUGAGUACAUGGUGACUGAUUGUUACUUUGCAUUUAAGCCUAAGGAAACCCAGCCAGGAUUCAGAGGCACUUGCUCUUUCAAAUCCCAACUCAAGAGGUUGAGAGUCAAUGCAGAGAAGGUGGAGGGUGGGGGGCGCGUAGCACCAGAGGUCCGGUGGUCUAUGCAGCACACAGGUGCCCAGGCGGGAGCGAUCUCCCUCCGCGGACGUGCCGGAGAUGAGGAGGAAAGUCAGAAAAUAAAGUGUCGACCGAUGGAUUUUGGAUUAAGUAUAUUAUAUGCAAACAGGAGCAAAGAAGAAGGAUAGGAUGGGGUCAGAAGAAAGAAAACCACUGCAGUUGACUAUCCCUUGGAAGAGCCCCAGCGGCCGAGCCUUCCGGAGAGGGACAGGCCAUUCCAUGUGAGUUCUGGAACACAACCCCCUCUGGGCCUCAGGCACCACUCUGCCCCCAGAAAGUGAUUCUCAUGAGAAAAACACAAGCAUCUGGCAGUCACACAAGACCAGGAAAUGCAGAAGAGAAGGUUGCUUGCAUUUCUGAGCAGGGACCGAGUGACGGGUGUUUCACACCCAUGACCUCAUGGAAUACUUGCAGUAGCCCCGUGUCAUCGUGCUGCUCCGUUUUACAGGUGAGGAGGCUCAGAAAGGUUCGGUGAGUUGGGCAAGUCACAGAAACAACACACAGCAAGCCUGGGAAUUUCAACCCAAGUCUAUCCAACCCAAAACUGCACGUGCUUCCCAUUCCGCUUCCCGGGGCCACGUCAGCUUGAUUUUAGGGCUCACCUCCUCGUGGUUCUUCUUGAGGCACAACAGCUCCUCCUUCAGGGACUCCACCUGGGCCUCCAGGUCAGCCUUGCACAGGGUCAGCUCGUCCAGGAUCCUGCGCAGGCCGUUGGUGUCGGCCUCCACCAGCUGCCGCAUGGCCAGCUCCGUCUCGUACCUGCACAGGGACAGGGUCAGCAACCGAGGGCUGAAACUGAAUACAGCACUCAGGGAAGACCCACCGCUACUGGCACUUUUCCAACCCUCCCUGAAACUCACGGAGAGCUGCCCCCAAAGAUGUGCGGGGAGGUGGCGGGGGAGGGGGGGUACCCCACCAUCCCCAGGCCAGACUCACUUGGUCCUAAAGUCAUCGGCGGCCAGCUUGGCGUUAUCAAUGUGCACGACCAUCCUGGCGUUCUCGGCCUUGGUGCACAGAACCUGGGGGCCAAGGCACAAGAGGGCGUGCGUUCAGAAUAAGAAGAAAAAAGAGCCCAGAGGAAAAGCUGGCGGCUGAAGGGACUCAGCAGCCUGGUGACCAUCCCUGCAGGAGACCCUCUUCUCUGGGACUCUGGGGAAUAUUUGGUGAACUGCUAGUCCUGGAGAACUACUAGGAUUUAUAUUUGAAGCACCUAGGUUCUUCAUAAAUCCAAACGCCCCACUUUGGUCGCAGUGACCAAUGUGGAAGGAAACAACGUCGUUAAGUCCGAAGUCCUUCGUGGGACAGGCAGACCCUUAACAAGCGCUAACAUUGACUAAAAACUCACCGUGUGCCAGAGGCUGUGUUAAACACUUCCCGUGCAUCAACUCAUGGAAUCCUCUGGACAGACCCCUUAGGUGCGAACCAUUACUGCAACCAGUUUACCGAUGGGGACACUGGGGCCUAGGGAAGGGAAGGCCCCCCUCCCAAAGCCACAAAGUGGUAGAACUGAGUCUAGAUCCCAGACCUCUUUCCAUGUUAAGGACUCUAGCUGAACCCUCAAACUGUGAGACAAUCCUAUGCCCUGGGGAAGUCUCUUUCCCCUGAAUGAGGCUUAAUAAGCUAAUGAGAUUCACAUCUGGAGCUCCAGGCCUUCCGGUUGCCUUCCCAGUGAGUCCUUUCGCCGCUUGCCCUCACCUUCUGCUGGAGCUCCUCGAUGGUCCUGAAAUAAGACUGGUAGUCAGGACACAGGGUGGGCACUUGAGACUGGCAGGCCUCUUGGAUCCUGGUCUCCAGCUCCGCGUUCUCCCGCUCCAGCUGGCGCACCUUCUCCAGGUAGUUGGCCAGGCGGUCGUUCAGGAACUGCAUGGUCUCCUUCUCGUUGCCAUUGAACGUCCCUUCACAGUACCAGCUGCAGGUGCCCAUGGAACUGGCGAUACCACUGGCUGGCCGGCAGCUGCUGGGCCAGCAGGAGCUGGAUAGGUAGGUCUUGGAGAGGCAGCUGGCUGGCAGGUAGGUGGUGGGCGUGCAGACAGAAGGCACGUAUGUCAUGGGCUGGCAGACGUAACCCAGGCACAGCUCGGGCCGGCAGCUCAUGCUGCUGGAGCAGACAGAGGGGGGCCGCGGGCAGCUCUUGAUGGAAGCUGGUGAGCAGUUGGAUACCAUGUCAGGGAGGCCCCUUCGCAGCGACAGCUACCUGGAUUGUCAGUGUCCACAGACCCCAUCCUGCUUGGGCCUUUUUAUACCCCUGGAAUGAGGGGGCUCACGCUAGAAAGUCACCAUGGGGUGGUGUUGAUGUGUAUACACAGCCCCAGAGGAAGCUGCUAAUUAAUUUAUAAUUUGGUUUCCAAUAAGGAACUCCUUUCCUUGUAAAAGAGGCUAAGCUAGUCAUUUGGCUAAAGCAAGACUCUGGGCUCCUGUCAUUGAUCACCAGGGGAGAGCUUCAGGACACAUCUUCAAAGGAUCAGCUUUGGGCUUGGGCCCUCAUUACCCGGGCGGGGCCGCCCGGACACCACAGCACCUGGCCCUGUGCCGCCAAUGCCCGCUGCGCCCCCGCCCGCUCGGGCCCUGAGAAAGGGCCGCAGUUCCGUGGGGUAGCUCUUCCUUUUAAUGAGAGCAUUCCCUGUGGGAAGAGGCCUGACCCUUAAGGAGGAAAUGUGUGGGUGCCAGAAGUUUCACCGAUACUGGCAGUGCUAUAAAUCGAAGGAGCUGGGAAACAGAACCUCAGAGCCUUCUAAACCUGCAUCACCGCCCUACCUAGGGGGAGAAGUGAUCUCAGGGAGGAGAGAUCCAGACAGAACCCGAGACCCAGACAGAAAGCCUAAGAAUCAGGGGCAUCUUUUCAGCUGGAUGCUACUAAGAAAGAGAGACGUGGGGAUCCCGCUCUCGGGAAAGUGUCGUGAUCAUCCCGGUGGGGCAGACGCUCUAUCUUGACCAUCUCUGGAUCCUCCCUUCGUGAAUCACCGCCCCCAUAGACAGAGAUGUCGAGAGUUCAUGACUGUUAAAAGGACAGGGGUGGACAGGCUGGAACAGGCUCUACUUUCGCUUUCUACAGCGCAGGGCUCCCCGCGGGACCUCAGAGAUGGGAGGCAGUGUGAAUCAGCUCCCUGGAGAAGUGGCACCCUGCAGCCCUGGUGUGAGCUAAGCCAGGGGACUGGAGCAGGCGUCUCCAAUUAUAGAAGCCUCGGGUAUUCCUUAAGAAAGCGACAGGCAAGACCAGUGGUUUCCUGUCCUGCCUGCGAUACCCGUGGGCUCAGACACUUCACGUUUAACCUAUGGGUGUUACAUGGCCACUUUUUAUUCAUUAAUCUUCUCAAUAUAACACUGGGGUGUGAGUGCUUGUCUUUUUCUUUCAUAUAUUUCUAGAAGUAUCGGUGAAAGGGUAGGGAAGGGAAAAUGCCACUCAGCCCUGUUCCCUGAAAUCUGUUGCUUGAGAGAAGUCAAGAUCGAGAAUGCUACGUAGAGCCAGUGAUCUGGCUGCAAUACGCACCGAUAAAUAGGCAAGAACGGCUUCGGUCUAUGGGAGGAAGGCAAGAAACAAGGCUGAUAAUUCGGUUUUAAACGGUCUUCAA